rnacentral:rRNA from 1 species
AUUGAACGCUGGCGGCAGGCUUAACACAUGCAAGUCGAGCGAGCGGCGGACGGGUGAGUAAUGUCUGGGAAACUGCCUGAUGGAGGGGGCUAACUCCUGGAAACGGUAGCUAAUACCGCAUACCAUCAGAAGUGCCCAGAUGGGAUUAGCGAGUAGGUGGGGUAAUGGCGCACCUAGGCGACGAUCCCUAGCUGGUCUGAGAGGAUGACCAGCCACGAGGGAACUGAUACACGGUCCAGCCUCCUACGGGAGGCAGCAGUGGGGAAUAGUGCACAAUGGGCGCAAGCCGGAUGCAGCCAUGCCGCGUGUGUGAAGAAGGCCUUCGGGUUGUAAAGCACUUUCAGCGAGGAGGCGUUACUCGCAGAAGAAGCACCGGCUAACUCCGUGCCAGCAGCCGCGGUAAUUC